CUCGUACUCACGGUAGCUGUACACCGUGACAACCGACAUAAGGACAAUUUGGAUGAUAUUGCUCACUGGGCUCUGGAUGAGAUAGGCCCGGGAUACCAACUUAUCAAAGUGAGAAAGGUCAAGCGGCAGCAUGUGGAUGGUACACUUUAUCAUCUGACAUUGAAGGUCAGGACGUUCAGGCCUGGUGGGUUCAGUGAAAAGAAGAAAUGCAUCGUUAAAGUACUUGUCUAUGAUAACUACAAGACUCUCCAGUACCAUAGGUGCU
rnacentral:lncRNA from 1 species